CUAAAUUCUCUGCGUCCCUCUCUCUGCCUUCCUCUCUAUCCCUUCACCCCCUCCCCCUCUCUCCUCCCCCUUCUCUCCCAUCCCCUGCAAUCCGCACUCGACGCGAGUUCACGCGCAGGGCUGGAUUUCCAAGCUGCACUGCAACUUCUCAGCGCGUUAUUAUUAUUCAUCUGAGGGUGCAGCCUCUGCAACCUUCGCCUCCUGCGCUAGCAUCCUUCCCCCUAGCCGCGGCCAACAACAGCAGUGCAGUCUCUUCUGCACGCAGGCUCUGGUUCACAACAGGAGGAUUCUGGUUUGGGGGUUUUUGUUUGUUUGUUUGUUUGUUUUGUUUUUGCUUUUGCUUUUUAAUUCUCUUCAGGAUCAUUUCCACGAUGCCUGGUUUUAUCAUUAGCUUUUCCUCCGGCCAGGUGGCGCGACCACCAGCGCCUGCUCGAAGGUCUUCCUUUCCCCCAGACAAGGAAACGAUUGGGACUUGGCCAGUGAGGCCGCUCCCUGCUGGUCGAGCAGUCUUUAGCCUCCGCAACUCUCCCGCAUUCAUCUGCAUGUGUAUAUAUUAUCCCCAUUCUUUUUUAUUCCAGUAGAUCUGCCUUUGGUUUGGACUGGCUGAAGCACUGCGGACUGCAACCAGUAUCUUUUAAAGGAGAAAAGAUGCGGAUCUUGUGCGGACUCCGGGACAAAGCGUCUUGGGCUCGGUGACAAGGGACGCUCGGGACUCUGACUCCUCGAUUGGAGAGACCAACGCAGCCCAAGGGCACCCCGCAGGGCCUGCGGACCUCUGAGGCGAGAGGACCGCAGCAGGAGAGUUCCGGAAGGCUGAUUCCCACAGAUCCUGGUGAGGGGCCGCCGCAGCUCAGCCCUACGGCACUCCCGGCCAGGCAGCAACCAGGACUCUACACGCGAGGAAAAAGCUUGGAAACGAAAGGAUGCGGGAGAACAAAGAGCCUUCGGAGGACGUGGCUGUUAUCUCAUUGUCUGACUGGGGGAGCUGCGGAGAAAGGCCUCUCUCUCCGUGUUCACAGCGGACCUUGAUUUAAAUGUCCAUACAAUUAAGGCACGCGGUGAAUGCCAAGAAUGGGGCUGUCUGAGCACCUUGGGUCCUCGAGGGCCCGCCACGGAAGGAUCGACCCAGCCCAACGCCCUGGGCAGAUCUCAGUGCUGCAGCUGCAGGCGCCACAGGAGGGGCAGCGGGCUGCUGAAUGCCUUGCACCGCAGCUUUUAGGGUGGGGAUGUGUGCGGCUACCGACAAAGAGGGGCUUGUGUAGAUGCAAACAGAAUCUAGGAAAGAAACAACCCAUUCUGUGACAGAAACACGAAUCUAUGCACGCGGGUAGUGGUGGGAGUGGGCGAUGGUCUGGGAGCUGUUGGAGAGUGAAGAGUGUGCGUUAGCAUCUGGGACCGUGCCCAUAGUACAAGGUCGACACCUUCCUUCCUAUCUGUUUUUGUCCUGGGCUUUCAAUUUGCCCUUAAACAAAUACUAAUAAUCUGGUACCCAUGGGACUGGCAGGCUGCCCCAGAGCCUGGACUGCAGCUACAUUGUGUUCUGCUUGGGUUUGGUCGUCUAGUCUUUGGGGGACGCUGUUUGUCACACUUUGGUGGAGAGCUGUGGGCAUUUGACAAGCUCAAGCAGAUCUUGGGAUGAAGGCGACCAGCAAAUUUGCUCAUGAACAACGCUCAGACUCCAUCAAAGCUGACAGCUAGCUCUCGGCUCCAAGGACAGCCUCCAGCCUUCUCAGGGCUGUGACUGAAGUUUCAGGCAGAGAUCCAGAGCUGCAGGAGAGGCACAGUAUGCCCAAAGGGAGGGCUGUUCCGUUGCUCCUAAAACCGGGACAGAAGGAAAAACAGCAUGCGUACAGGUGGGGGUCUGAGCAAAGUCUGUUUUGAAGCAGGCUGUCCAGGAGCAGAAAGGGUUAAGCCUCCCUCAUCCUGAAGCACCUGCUUCCCAGAUCAGCCCCCAAACAGCAGCUGGUCCUAGAGACCCCCGACCCAGUCCCAUCUCCAGCUCAGUGUUCACCGCCAGCCUGCAGUAGAUGGACGGUGGCCUGGUGACCGACCUAAACUCAUUAAUUUCCAGGUGGAGAAAAUGGAGGAGGGGCAGGUCCCAGCAGCAGAGGGGAGGAAAGGGGGCCAAGAGCUGGCCUUCCCACCCAGGAAGCAGGCUGUAGCCCUUCCCCCUGCUGCCAUGCCAGAGGCCUGCCUUUGCAAGGCCAAGCCCAUAAAGGAUGUUUAGGAGUUUAAUCUGAUUCCUGGCACUGUAAUCAGGGUCUAAAGGAGCAUCCAUUGAAGUUAAUGGAGGACUCUUUUCUCCAAAGCCUCUGCCUCCUCUAGUCUAGUAAGUUAGUAUUCGAGGCCAUCAUGGAUCAGUACCUCUCUGUCCUAGUUAACUCAUGAGUAUUUAUUAUUUCUUGAGUAUCUACUAUGUGUCCGUCUUUGUGAUUAUCUCAUCUUAACUGCCAGAUUUCGUCCCAGAAGGGAGCGUUAGAGCUAGCUGGACUGAGGUUAUAGGCUUUCCCAGAACCUUCUCAGCUCUGCAGAAAUGAGCCACAGCCUGCUCACUCUUGCAGGAGGAAAGCCGCAGGGGACUGCAGGGAUUUUGCUGACUGAGUCCUGUAGAGCAAGUUGGGCUGCCAGGAAGAAAGGGAAAACCUUAGCCAUGGCUGUCCUAAGAGGCAUUGUAGUCAUUGCCUUCAAAAUCUACCUUCCUUGAAAUGAGAACUGAUUCUGUUCUGGGACACUCCCACCCUUUAUGAAUGUGUUAGAGGAGAGCAUCCAGUGUACUGUACCAUUCUGGGGUGUACCCAUCGCCUCCACCCUCUAUGCCCGAUAAGAUGUUAUUUAGCCUUCAAGCAAUUGCCUAAGCUGCUGAUGGCCCAACCCCCUGUACCUCAAAUGUCCCCAUUAGCAAUCCUCUGCCCAAUAAUUGCUUCCCCCGUGAUUCCUUCAAAUGUCCCCUCGUCCUUCACUUCAUCUUAUAUAACCUCCAGAUGCUUCCCCAAGUUAAGGUCCUUUUAGGUAGAAACUCAAUACGCUUUUUCUCUGAGAGCUCCAACCGCAGACACCUUCCGUAAGGCCUGCCUGGGAUCUGCUACAUAGGAUCUGUGCUGGGAAGGGUGCAUUUUAAUUUUAUUGCUGGCAGAAACUCUUGUUCCAGAAUGUAUUCGUGUGUGGGAGUGUUCUGGGCUGGCCAGUCUGUGCAAAUCAGUGUGAGUCUGUGUCCACCAGUUGCCCUUCACAGAAGGGGUUUGCACGUGGGAUUCUAAUGACCUUCCCAGCCCAGGUAUAAUUGCAAGCCCCCUUUUGUUUUCACCAAAUGAAGAAUCAGAGCCAAGGUCAGCCUGAGCUGCCGCCUUCCUCUGUUUCCUGUCCUUUUAUGCCCAUCAGUAAUUAUGCAGACAACUGGAAGCUCUCUGCUUUUCUCAAGGCAUCUCUUGAAUUCUCAAGCUCAUCUCCCCGGUCUAUUUGAGCCUUCUAAUUGCAUAUUAUGUACAACUAAAAUGAAGGGAGAAAUUCAGGAUCUAACAGUAGGAUAAGGCUGACAUAGUUUGAUGACUGAAUACACUUUCCUAGUCCCUUGGGUUUGUUCAUACUCACUAUGGUCUUAGUCCCCGUGGUAUACAAGUUUUUGUGUUUCUUAAGGGACCAUGUACUCGGAAUAGAUUAGGAAUAUAUCGAAAGACUAAUGAUUAAUGUUUCUCUCCCCUGCCAGAGACAGCCCAGAUCUGUCUCAAUGGAAAAGAAUUGAUUCUUUAACAGAUGUCGUGAUAAAUUCUAUAAAUUUCUUCCCUGUGGGGGGGGGGCGGUGGGUACACAAGAAACUUUCAUCAGAUAAUUAAUAUGUAGGGAGGGACAUGCCUGAAGCUAGUGUAUCUCCAUGCACACAUAUUAAGCCGUAGAUUUCCUCACACAACCAUAUCUAUAGCUAACUUGGAAGGCACUUGGCCACCAAAGAAAGUGCACCCAUCCACACCACCUCUAUAAGGAAAUUUUCUCUCCCACUAUUGAACUUACAUAAUACCCACCCCCAUUCCAACCUUAGAGUGCUGCCUGGGGGCAGCUGCAGAAAUCCUGCCUGGGACAGAUGGAGCCUCCAAUCCCUCAGCUACUUCGUGGGUGGUUUUUGAGCCUAUGAGUCAACAUGGGCAGACUGUAGUGUGUGCUGGUGCUGUGUGUGUAUUUGAGGCUUGGCGGGCUGAUUCACAUCGAUGAGGAUAUUAACAGCAAUACUGAGAAUUAUGGUACCUAAUAAAGUUUUUUUUCUUCCAA